rnacentral:rRNA from 1 species
CUCAAAGGAAUUGACGGGGCCCGCACAAGCGGUGGAGCAUGUGGUUUAAUUCGAUGCAACGCGAAGAACCUUACCUGGCCUUGACAUAGUAGAGACUUUCCAGAGAUGGAUUGGUGCCUUCGGGAAUCUACAUACAGGUGCUGCAUGGCUGUCGUCAGCUCGUGUCGUGAGAUGUUGGGUUAAGUCCCGCAACGAGCGCAACCCUUUUCCUUACUUGCCAGCAUUUCGGAUGGGAACUUUAAGGAUACUGCCAGUGACAAACUGGAGGAAGGCGGGGACGACGUCAAGUCAUCAUGGCCCUUACGGCCAGGGCUACACACGUGCUACAAUGGUCGGUACAAAGGGUUGCUACACAGCGAUGUGAUGCUAAUCUCAAAAAGCCGAUCGUAGUCCGGAUCGCAGUCUGCAACUCGGCUGCGUGAAGUCGGAAUCGCUAGUAAUCGCGGAUCAGAAUGCCGCGGUGAAUACGUUCCCGCGCUUUGCACACACCGCCCG